AGGGCGGUUUUCCUCGCUAAUUCGUCGUAAGAGAGGCUUUACGACGAAUUAGCGAGGAAACGCGUUUGCUCGUUACACGUCUGUCGUAACACAUAUUUCCUCGCUAAUUCGUCGUAACUUAGCGAGGAAUAUAUUUCGUCGUAAAGACGAAUUAGGACGAUUCGUCGUAAAGACCACGUCAAUAUUAUACGUAAGGACGUCGCUAUAAUACCUCGUAAAUACCUCGAAAAUAGUUCCUCGUAACCUACACGCAAAUACCUUGAAAGAGUUUCCUCGCAAAAUACACGUAAUAACCACGAAAUGAUUUCCUCGUAAAAUGGUCGUAAACUUUUC
rnacentral:lncRNA from 1 species